UGGAAUUGCUAGUAAUCACAGGUCAGCAUACUGUGGUGAAUACGUUCCCGGGCCUUGUACACACCGCCCGUCACACCAUGGGAGUUGGAGCACCCGAAGCCGGUGAGUUGACCGCAAGGGGACAGCCGUCGAAGGUGAGACUGAUGACUGGGGUGAAGUCGUAACAAGGUAGC
rnacentral:rRNA from 1 species